UAGCACGGUUUUUCGACGCCACUUUUCCUGUACUGAAGGAGGAGCUUGUGCGCCGCAACAAGUCGGAGCCUUUCGAACCCUGGCCUGUGGCAUGUGGACGCUGAGGGCCUCUACCACAACAGCCGAGGCUUUCGAUAUACAACAGAGAGAUUGCCCACGGCAGAAAGUGUGUAUAAAUGGGGCAUGUAGCUAAGUUUUGUCGCAAAAAGAAGUUCAAAGUGUGUUUCUGCUGCUCGGACAUGGGUCAUGAUGGUGCACGAUGUCCCA